rnacentral:rRNA from 1 species
CCGUACACAAAAGCGCAUGUGCUGUGAGCUCGAUGAGUAGGGCGGGACACGUGGUAUCCUGUCUGAAUAUGGGGGGACCAUCCUCCAAGGCUAAAUACUCCUGACUGACCGAUAGUGAACCAGUACCGUGAGGGAAAGGCGAAAAGAACCCCGGCGAGGGGAGUGAAAAAGAACCUGAAACCGUGUACGUACAAGCAGUGGGAGCACAGGUUUACCUGUGUGACUGCGUACCUUUUGUAUAAUGGGUCAGCGACUUAUAUUCUGUAGCAAGGUUAACCGUAUAGGGGAGCCGGAGGGAAACCGAGUCUUAAUUGGGCGUUAAGUUGCAGGGUAUAGACCCGAAACCCGGUGAUCUAGCCAUGGGCAGGUUGAAGGUUGGGUAACACUAACUGGAGGACCGAACCGACUAAUGUUGAAAAAUUAGCGGAUGACCUGUGGCUGGGGGUGAAAGGCCAAUCAAACCGGGAGAUAGCUGGUUCUCCCCGAAAGCUAUUUAGGUAGCGCCUCGUGAAUUCAUCUCCGGGGGUAGAGCACUGUUUCGGCUAGGGGGCCAUCCCGGCUUACCAACCCGAUGCAAACUGCGAAUACCGGAGAAUGUUAUCACGGGAGACACACGGCGGGUGCUAACGUCCGUCGUGAAGAGGGAAACAACCCAGACCGCCAGCUAAGGUCCCAAAGUCAUGGUUAAGUGGGAAACGAUGUGGGAAGGCCCAGACAGCCAGGAUGUUGGCUUAGAAGCAGCCAUCAUUUAAAGAAAGCGUAAUAGCUCACUGGUCGAGUCGGCCUGCGCGGAAGAUGUAACGGGGCUAAACCAUGCACCGAAGCUGCGGCAGCGAACGUAUCACCCAAGACAACUUUACGGAGUUGACGAUUGACGGAGCGAAGCGACGUCAAAGCGUUCAUUAAAGUCGAGUUGGCUUAGGGAUACGUUCGUUGGGUAGGGGAGCGUUCUGUAAGCCUGUGAAGGUGUGUCGUGAGGCAUGCUGGAGGUAUCAGAAGUGCGAAUGCUGACAUAAGUAACGAUAAAGCGGGUGAAAAGCCCGCUCGCCGGAAGACCAAGGGUUCCUGUCCAACGUUAAUCGGGGCAGGGUGAGUCGACCCCUAAGGCGAGGCCGAAAGGCGUAGUCGAUGGGAAACGGGUUAAUAUUCCCGUACUUGGUGUUACUGCGAAGGGGGGACGGAGAAGGCUAUGUUGGCCGGGCGACGGUUGUCCCGGUUUAAGCGUGUAGGUGUGUGUUCCAGGUAAAUCCGGUUCACUUUAACACUGAGGCGUGACGACGAGGCACUACGGUGCUGAAGCAACAAAUGCCCUGCUUCCAGGAAAAGCCUCUAAGCAUCAGGUAACACGAAAUCGUACCCCAAACCGACACAGGUGGUCAGGUAGAGAAUACCAAGGCGCUUGAGAGAACUCGGGUGAAGGAACUAGGCAAAAUGGUGCCGUAACUUCGGGAGAAGGCACGCUGACACGUAGGUGAAGUGAUUUACUCAUGGAGCUGAAGUCAGUCGAAGAUACCAGCUGGCUGCAACUGUUUAUUAAAAACACAGCACUGUGCAAACACGAAAGUGGACGUAUACGGUGUGACGCCUGCCCGGUGCCGGAAGGUUAAUUGAUGGGGUCAGCGCAAGCGAAGCUCCUGAUCGAAGCCCCGGUAAACGGCGGCCGUAACUAUAACGGUCCUAAGGUAGCGAAAUUCCUUGUCGGGUAAGUUCCGACCUGCACGAAUGGCGUAAUGAUGGCCAGGCUGUCUCCACCCGAGACUCAGUGAAAUUGAACUCGCUGUGAAGAUGCAGUGUACCCGCGGCAAGACGGAAAGACCCCGUGAACCUUUACUAUAGCUUGACACUGAACAUUGAGCCUUGAUGUGUAGGAUAGGUGGGAGGCUUUGAAGUGUGGACGCCAGUCUGCAUGGAGCCGACCUUGAAAUACCACCCUUUAAUGUUUGAUGUUCUAACGUGGACCCGUAAUCCGGGUUGCGGACAGUGUCUGGUGGGUAGUUUGACUGGGGCGGUCUCCUCCUAAAGAGUAACGGAGGAGCACGAAGGUUGGCUAAUCCUGGUCGGACAUCAGGAGGUUAGUGCAAUGGCAUAAGCCAGCUUGACUGCGAGCGUGACGGCGCGAGCAGGUGCGAAAGCAGGUCAUAGUGAUCCGGUGGUUCUGAAUGGAAGGGCCAUCGCUCAACGGAUAAAAGGUACUCCGGGGAUAACAGGCUGAUACCGCCCAAGAGUUCAUAUCGACGGCGGUGUUUGGCACCUCGAUGUCGGCUCAUCACAUCCUGGGGCUGAAGUAGGUCCCAAGGGUAUGGCUGUUCGCCAUUUAAAGUGGUACGCGAGCUGGGUUUAGAACGUCGUGAGACAGUUCGGUCCCUAUCUGCCGUGGGCGCUGGAGAACUGAGGGGGGCUGCUCCUAGUACGAGAGGACCGGAGUGGACGCAUCACUGGUGUUCGGGUUGUCAUGCCAAUGGCACUGCCCGGUAGCUAAAUGCGGAAGAGAUAAGUGCUGAAAGCAUCUAAGCACGAAACUUGCCCCGAGAUGAGUUCUCCCUGAGACUUAGAGUCUCCUGAAGGAACGUUGAAGACGACGACGUUGAUAGGCCGGGUGUGUAAGCGCAGCGAUGCGUUGAGCUAACCGGUACUAAUGAACCGUGAGGCUUAACCUUACA